ensembl:lncRNA
UUAUACUUUAUAUUCUUUUAUAGAAUUUAUUAGAUAGAAUUAAUAGAUAAGGUUAACACUGAUUUUUUUUUUAAACAUUUUCAGAACAGCAACAUUAAAGCAUUUAUUAAUCAAUACCAAUUUCACACCUUCCUUAUCAGAAUAUCAUUGUAAUAUUCUGUCAGAUCUUCUAUACAGACUCAUAAAUGUUUCAUUUGAGAAGCAAGUUUGUCAGCUAAGGAUAGGUCACUGCAAAAUUUAUCUUAACCCGGCUUUCAUAUCCUGAAGUGAAGAACUGAAAGUUGUCACAACUGCUGCCAAGAAACAAUUUGAUCUGCAUCCGAAAGGUUUUAUGACCUGUGUAGAUUUAUACGGCCAGCGCUCCUGAAAUUUACUGCCGUGAUUUUUCACAGAACCUGGAUGAUCCCGAUUUCUGGUUCACUGUGUUUUUCAAAUUCAUGUUGCAAAUUUCUUGGUCGAUAAAUUAGCAGAUUCCUGUUAGAGGCAAUUCAAGGCAAAACAGCCAAGACUUUUUCUGCCAAUCUUUUGUCAUUGCAAAAGUAUAAAAAAAUAAAUAAAAUUAUGCAAACAUUUACAAAGAAAUACAGCAUGUAAACAUGUAUCUAAUUGUUUUGUCACACCACCAGCCCGCACAAACUGGCUAAGACCCCAUAAUUAAGCAGCCAAGUUCAGCCCCGGUUUUAUGGUGUGCUGGUAUGAACACUUACAUAGCAACAGAGUCAUCAGUCAUGGUUUCAUCUUAAUGGUAAUUUUGUCACCCAACACUGUGCCAAACAUGCAUUUGUUACACUUGUUGCUUUUUUUAAAGGCUUGCAUCAUGCUAUGAAGCUGUCAACACUAUUAAUCUGGACCAGCAAUCUCAGUGGGUCAGUUUAUAGCUGCACACAGCCUCUCUGCUGUCUCACAGCUUAAUGGGUCCUUAUAGAAGACUAAAAUCCUGGAAGUCACAAGGUAUACCAUCGCUUUUUUUCUGUCCAUGAGCAAAGAAAUGAAAAAGGUUGUCUGUCCUUAACUGUCGCAGUAGCCUCUUUGAUACUGUUUGCAGACACUGUGACCUGACUAAGGAAAGAAGAUACCAUAACUCACAAUACCUUUAUUUGAAAUGGACAGAGAAACAUUAAGGGUGACACUUCACUUAAACUCAGUAUCCAUAAAGCAUUAUAAACACAUUUAUAGAAUGUUUAUAAAGUAAUCAUAAUGCAUCAUAGCGACUGACACAAGUCUAUGUAAUAACUAUGUAUAAAUAUAAAUGAGUGCACUCGUACAGCCUAAUGAUAUAGUAUAAACCCUACACAACUAAUAUUAUGAUAGCUUGUGUGGGGUCACAUGGAUAUGGAUUUAUUAAGAGCAUGUGGUAAAUAAACAGCUUUGUCAACAGGUCGACAUAAGGCAAGGAUGUCAUCAGUGCCAUUAUCAGGAGGUAAAAGAAGCUUUAUUAAGCAUUAUGAUACUAUAUAUGAUCGUACGCUUUAUGAUAUAGACUUAUGACAAUCAAUAUGGAGCAUCAUGAAUACUUUAUAACCCUUUAUGUGUGUUUAUAAUGCGUUAGGGAAGCUGGGUUGAAGUAAAGUGUCACCACAUUAAGUUAUUGUUGGUAUCAGUUACCACCCACAGCAACAACAUUCUAUUUGGAACUCCUUGAGGCUGACAGAAGACUUUGAGCCAAGGGCAACUGCACAUACUCACAAAUUAACAGCUUGUAAUCAGGAAUCAGUUUAUCACAUAAACACAUCUAAUUUGGGCCAUUCCCACACACCAACGGCUUGCAUUAAUAAUACUUCUUUGAUCAUUAAGCACCUCUUAACGUAAAAGCGAAGAGACUGGCUCUUUCCCCAUAAUUUAUAGACUGUUUUGCAACAGUAGUGAAAGGGGGGAGCAGUGAUUUAUGAGGACAAUGAGUCACUGCUUAUUUAUAUGGAGUGAUGCCCACUACUUUGCUGGGCUCAAAACAUCUUCAUUUAGUCAUAUCAUUCCACUUCAACAUAUAUAACUUGUAGCAGUAAAACUCAAUUAAAUGGCACAUAAGUCAAUGAAUGUGUCACUUCUCCACGUCCAAGGGGGUGUCAAGUUAUGACUGGUUAUGCAAGAUGCUUUAAAUCAUCUUUUGGGUGAAAGUCCUCUGCUAUGGCUUACUGGAGUGGUCCUUCCAUCGGACUCUUCAUUCAUUUUAGUAGUUUUGUCCAUCUAAGGGGUGACAGGCCUAUUUCAGGCAACUGGAGCCACUCAAACACAUAAGUGCAAACACACACAAUCGCACACAAACUCACUCUCACACACACACACACACACACACACACACACACACACACACACACACACACACACUGCUUGCUAACUUUUAGGGUCUGGUCUGACACGUAAUCCUCAGAGUUAAAAAAAAACACACGGUGUGACUUCAUCCUGAGAAAAAUAGCGCAGACUUGAAAGUGAGUGGCCCAGCCUCCAGGGACGCGAGGGGCUCACAGCUCAAUCCAUCAGCUGCGCGGGGUCUGGACGUUUACACAGCGGCGCCUUUCAUCCCUACACCCUUUCACCACCUGAGGGCGCCAUUUCCCAACAGCCGCCCGCACUCAUGGCCAGUUCUUAGAAGGAUCCUCAGGCUGCUGCUCUGUCUGGAACAGAAAGGUUCACGUCAGUUGGACCGUUGGGAGGAUUUUAAGAACUGACAGAGAUAAGAACAUUAAUGU